CCGCCUUUAAGGCCGCCGGGGGGCAUCAGCCCCCGGGCCCGCGCCCGCCGGAGACACCUCGAACUCUGUCUGAUCUAGUGAAGUCUGAGUUGAUUGUAUCGCAAUCAGUUAAAACUUUCAACAAUGGAUCUCUUGGUUCCGGCAUCGAUGAAGAACGCAGCGAAAUGCGAUAACUAGUGUGAAUUGCAGAAUUCCGUGAAUCAUCGAGUCUUUGAACGCACAUUGCGCCCCCUGGUAUUCCGGGGGGCAUGCCUGUCCGAGCGUCAUUGCUGCCCAUCAAGCACGGCUUGUGUGUUGGGUCGUCGUCCCCUCUUCGGGGGGGACGGGCCCCAAAGGCAGCGGCGGCACCGCGUCCGAUCCUCGAGCGUAUGGGGCUUUGUCACCCGCUCUGUAGGCCCGGCCGGCGCUUGCCGAACGCAAAACAACCAUUCUUUCCAGGUUGACCUCGGAUCAGGUAGGGAUACCCGCUGAACUUAAGCAUAUCAAUAAGCGGAGGAAUU
rnacentral:rRNA from 1 species